rnacentral:rRNA from 1 species
UACGUAGGGUGCGAGCGUUAAUCGGAAUUACUGGGCGUAAAGGGUGCGCAGGCGGCUCCGCAUGUCGGGCGUGAAAUCCCCGGGCUUAACCUGGGAAUUGCGUCCGAAACUAUGGAGCUGGAGUGUGGCAGAGGGAGGUGGAAUUCCACGUGUAGCGGUGAAAUGCGUAGAGAUGUGGAGGAACACCGAUGGCGAAGGCAGCCUCCUGGGCCAUUACUGACGCUGAGGAGCGAAAGCGUGGGGAGCGAACAGG